rnacentral:rRNA from 1 species
AUACGGAGGAUCCGAGCGUUAUCCGGAUUUAUUGGGUUUAAAGGGUGCGCAGGCGGCCAUUUAAGUCAGCGGUUAAAUCGUGGGGCUCAACCCCAUUCUGCCGUUGAUACUGGGUGGCUUGAUUGCGGUCGAGGUUGGCGGAAUUCGUUGUGUAGCGGUGAAAUGCAUAGAUAUGACGAAGAACACCGAUUGCGUGGGUAGCUGACCAGAACGCAAAUGACGCUCAUGCACGAAAGUGCGGGGAUCGAACAGGAUUAGAUACCCUGGUAGGCCGGACAGUAAACGAUGAAUACUUGUUUUCGGCGAUAGAAUGUCGGAGGCAAAGCGAAAGCGAAAAGUAAUCACCCUGGGGAGUACGGCGGCAACGGUGAAACUCAAAUGAAUUGAGGGGG